rnacentral:rRNA from 1 species
UCCUAUGGCCAUACCACCCUGAAAGCGCCCGAUCUCGUCUGAUCUCGGAAGCUAAGCAGGGACGGGCCUGGUUAGUAUCUGGAUGGGAGACCGCCUGGGAAUACCAGGUGUUGUAGGCU